rnacentral:rRNA from 1 species
UGGCGAAGGCGCCCGGCUGGAACGGGUCCGACGGUGAGGGACGAAGGCCAGGGGAGCGAACCGGAUUAGAUACCCGGGUAGUCCUGGCUGUAAACGAUGCGGGCUAGGUGUCACCAGAGCCACGAGCUCCGGUGGUGCCGGAGGGAAGCCGUUAAGCCCGCCGCCUGGGAAGUACGGCCGCAAGGCUGAAACUUAAAGGAAUUGGCGGGGGAGCACUACAACGGGUGGAGCCUGCGGUUCAAUUGGAUUCAAUGCCGGGAAGCUUACCGGGGGAGACAGCUGGAUGAAGGUCGGGCUGAAGACCCUACCAGACUAGCUGAGAGGUGGUGCAUGGCCGCCGUCAGUUCGUACUGUGAAGCAUCCUGUUAAGUCAGGCAACGAGCGAGACCCGCGCCCUCAGUUGCCAGCGGAUCCCUUCGGGGAUGCCGGGCACACUGAGGGGACUGCCGGCGCUAAGCCGGAGGAAGGUGCGGGCAACGGCAGGUCCGUAUGCCCCGAAUCCCCCGGGCUACACGCGGGCUACAAUGGCCGGGACAAUGGGUACCGACCCCGAAAGGGGUAGGUAAUCCCCUAAACCCGGUCUAACCUGGGAUCGAGGGCUGCAACUCGCCCUCGUGAACCUGGAAUNCCGUAGUAANNNCGCCUCAAAAUGGCGCGGUGAAUAC